UUUAUCCAAAAUCUGAAAUUCGACCGCCAAACCGCUGCAAAGGCCACACUCAAGACUCCUCGACGAUGAGCCAAAGGUGUCUUUUGGUUUGCAGCUGGAGACUGACCAUGUCCUCCUCAAUUUCCACAACCCCCACAACCCCAUCUGCACCCACUGCAAACCUCUCAUUCUUCUCCUCCAACCUCCACCACCCGCUCCCUCCUUUCACACCCCCUUUCUCUAUCUCCUUCCCAAUGCCAAAUCCAAGCCCUACAGGCACACUCCGUCUCGCUCUCUGCCGCGCCGCCAAGCCCCAGACCGGACCUCCCAAGAAACCACCGGCAAGUAAGAGGAAGAAAAAGAGUAAGGGCGGCUGCAGUGGUUCCGAGGCUUUGAAUCUCAGCGACGUUGAAGUUGUUCGUGAGUUGGGUGUUAUUGAUAAUGACGACGACGUUGUGGAGUACUUGGGCUCCGAUGCGCGCUCGUUGCCGCAUCAACCUAUGCCGCUGCCGAAACCGCCGGCUGGGUUUGUGGUCGAUAAUCAUGGGAGGGUUGUGAUGGCUUCAGCUGCGGCGAAGCGAAUUGCCACCAUUGUUGAUCCUAUGAACAAUCUUCCAUUAGAGUGCGUUGUACGGAGAAUCUUAAGAAGUUCUAAUGGGGAUGAAUGCAUGCUGCUCUGCCCAGUUGACACGCCUGUACAGAUAUUAAAGAGCACAAAUAUGGACGGGUGGUCAGCAGUCAACGAUGAAGAAGUUGAGUCCCUUCUUCCAUCUGCUGCUUAUGCUCUUGCCAAGAUACAUAUGCAUCUUGUCCAUAGCGGAUUUUGUUAUACAGCACGUGGGGGGUUUUGCUACUCGGAAGAUGACCUUUUUGAUUUCCGCACAGACAAUGGUCAAGAUGUAGAUGGCUUGCCAACUGAAGGUGUAGAAAUCACAUGCUUCCAUUUGGUAAUGUGAUAGCCACCUAUUCUUUGAGCAGUUCUUAGUUUUGUGAGAACUGACGACAAACUUGCAUUUUUUGAUGGUGCACAUUACAUGAUUUACACUCCAUCUGAUCCCCUCCUUUUUGUUGUAGUAAAGAAUCAGAAUGGAGUGUUACAAAUUGCUGAUGACAUGAAUCGUUGUUAAGAGGUUAGUUAAGGCAGGGGACAAUUGUCGCUGGCUACUUAAAGGAAUGCAACAAACUAACCAUUGGUCACACAGAGACAUGCAUACAUUUUCUGUAUAGGAUUGGGGGAUGCUGGCCUAGUAAGACUAUAAAGGAUUAGCUCGUGUCUGGAUGCCGUUUUGGACCGAGGCCUUUAUUUUGUAUGCCAAAGUGUACACGUAACAUUCUUGGCCUCCUGAUCCACCACCCAAAAAGGAUGUUUUGGAUCUUUGGAGUCGUAAGAAAUCUCGUUUUGGAGACAAGUUGCAGCACUAUGUGUGUCUAUGCGGAUGUGUGUUUGUGCAUCAAAGAUUACUUUGUGCUGCUUGGUCCUGGUAAAACUGUUCAGAAAGAAUUGCCUGCAUGAAGAAGAUCUCCUGGAGGACCCUGCCAUUAUAAGUUCAAUAGACGAGGAGACUGAAUUUAAUGCGUUGGUGGAGGAAGAGGCAGCUCUUCUUGAAUCAUUAAAAUUAGGG